UAAAUACUCCCUCCGUCCUAAAAUAAGUGUCGCAAAUUUUAUACUAAGUUAGUACAAAUUUAGUAUUAAAGCAGCGACACUUAUUUUAGGACGGAGGGAGUAGAAU
rnacentral:pre_miRNA from 1 species